GACGAACGCUGGCGGCGUGCUUAACACAUGCAAGUCGUACGGUAAGGCCCUUUCGGGGUUACACGAGCGGCGAACGGACGAGUAACACAUGAGUAACCUGCCUACCACUUUGGGUUAACUCAAGGAAACUGGUUCUAACACAUGACAGGUGCUACUGCCGCAUGGUGGGGGUUGGAAAGAUCCGGCGGUUGUGUAUGGACUCGCGGGCUAUCAGGUUGCUGGUGGGGUGGGGGGCUUCCAAGGCGGCGACGGGUAGCCGGCCUGGGAGGGGGACCGGCCAAAAUGGGGAUGGAAUAAGGGCCAGGCCUCUACGGGAGGCAGCAGUGGGGAAUAUUGCAAAAAGGGGGGAAGCCCGAUGCAGCAACGCCGCGUGCGGGAAGACGGCCUUUGGGUUGUAAACCGCUUUCAGCAGGGACGAAGGUUUGUGUGACGGUAAUGGGAGAAGAAGCACCGGCUAACUACGUG
rnacentral:rRNA from 1 species